CUCAGGAUGAACGCUGGCGGCGUGCUUAACACAUGCAAGUCGACCGAUGAUCUCUAGCUUGCUGGGGGGAUUAGUGGCGAACGGGUGAGUAACACGUGAGUAACCUGCCCUUGACUCUGGGAUAAGCCUGGGAAACUGGGUCUAAUACCGGAUAUGACCAUCUGGCGCAUGUCAUGGUGGUGGAAAGCUUUUGUGGUUUUGGAUGGACUCGCGGCCUAUCAGCUUGUUGGUGGGGUAAUGGCCUACCAAGGCGACGACGGGUAGCCGGCCUGAGAGGGUGACCGGCCACACUGGGACUGAGACACGGCCCAGACUCCUACGGGAGGCAGCAGUGGGGAAUAUUGCACAAUGGGCGAAAGCCUGAUGCAGCGACGCCGCGUGAGGGAUGACGGCCUUCGGGUUGUAAACCUCUUUCAGUAGGGAAGAAGCGAAAGUGACGGUACCUGCAGAAGAAGCGCCGGCUAACUACGUGCCAGCAGCCGCGGUAAUACGUAGGGCGCAAGCGUUAUCCGGAAUUAUUGGGCGUAAAGAGCUCGUAGGCGGUUUGUCGCGUCUGCUGUGAAAGACCGGGGCUCAACUCCGGUUCUGCAGUGGGUACGGGCAGACUAGAGUGCAGUAGGGGAGACUGGAAUUCCUGGUGUAGCGGUGAAAUGCGCAGAUAUCAGGAGGAACACCGAUGGCGAAGGCAGGUCUCUGGGCUGUAACUGACGCUGAGGAGCGAAAGCAUGGGGAGCGAACAGGAUUAGAUACCCUGGUAGUCCAUGCCGUAAACGUUGGGCACUAGGUGUGGGGGACAUUCCACGUUUUCCGCGCCGUAGCUAACGCAUUAAGUGCCCCGCCUGGGGAGUACGGCCGCAAGGCUAAAACUCAAAGGAAUUGACGGGGGCCCGCACAAGCGGCGGAGCAUGCGGAUUAAUUCGAUGCAACGCGAAGAACCUUACCAAGGCUUGACAUGAACCGGAAAGACCUGGAAACAGGUGCCCCGCUUGCGGUCGGUUUACAGGUGGUGCAUGGUUGUCGUCAGCUCGUGUCGUGAGAUGUUGGGUUAAGUCCCGCAACGAGCGCAACCCUCGUUCUAUGUUGCCAGCGGUUCGGCCGGGGACUCAUAGGAGACUGCCGGGGUCAACUCGGAGGAAGGUGGGGACGACGUCAAAUCAUCAUGCCCCUUAUGUCUUGGGCUUCACGCAUGCUACAAUGGCCGGUACAAAGGGUUGCGAUACUGUGAGGGUGGAGCUAAUCCAAAAAGCGGUCUCAGUUCGGAUUGGGGUC
rnacentral:rRNA from 1 species